rnacentral:rRNA from 1 species
UACGUAGGGCGCAAGCGUUAUUCGGAAUCAUUGGGCGUAAAGCGCGUGUAGGCGGCUUGGUAAGUCAGAUGUGAAAGCUCUCGGCUUAACCGGGAAAGUGCAUUUGAAACUGCUUGGCUUGAGUCUCGGAGAGGAAGGUGGAAUUCCCAGUGUAGAGGUGAAAUUCGUAGGUAUUGGGAGGAACAUCGGUGGCGAAGGCGACCUUCUGGACGGUGACUGACGCUGAGACG